AACGAACGCUGGCGGCAUGCCUAACACAUGCAAGUCGAACGAGACCUUCGGGUCUAGUGGCGCACGGGUGCGUAACGCGUGGGAACCUGCCCUUAGGUUCGGAAUAACUCCCCGAAAGGGGUGCUAAUACCGGAUAAUGUCUUCGGACCGAAGAUUUAUCGCCUUUGGAUGGGCCCGCGUUGGAUUAGCUAGUUGGUAGGGUAAAAGCCUACCAAGGCGACGAUCCAUAGCUGGUCUGAGAGGAUGAUCAGCCACACUGGGACUGAGACACGGCCCAGACUCCUACGGGAGGCAGCAGUGGGGAAUAUUGGACAAUGGGCGAAAGCCUGAUCCAGCAAUGCCGCGUGAGUGAUGAAGGCCUUAGGGUUGUAAAGCUCUUUUACCCGGGAUGAUAAUGACGGUACCGGGAGAAUAAGCUCCGGCUAACUCCGUG
rnacentral:rRNA from 1 species